AAUCUUCUGGAGGAAGAAGAUAAAAGCAAGUAUAACAGUCAGUAUAAGCUUAUAAGAUUGAUCUACUUUCAAAUAUUAACAUAAAAAAACGGAGGAUGACAAACCUCAUCUCGAGUGUUGUCCAAUUCCAAAUCGAUGAGGUCGUCUAUAAACGGCAAGUUGAGAAAAAAUAGAUGCAGAAAAUGGGCCAAUGAUAUUGUUUGACUGUUAAAGAAAAAUCUAAUAUGCACAUAUAUUACAGAAAACAUUGAGAUGGAAGCAUUUUGCUUACCUUCCAGCCCAUUCGCCGAAGCCAUGCUUUCGGGGAAGGGAGAGAAAAACGGAUUACAACGCAUUCUGGGCAAUUUUCUAAAGAAAAAUACACCGCUGACCAGUGACUCGGCAUUUUGACUCGGACUCGGAUUUGACUCGGUUAACUCCGAGAUGACACAAGGGCACAAAACCUUGAUUCUCACCAAUAUUUAGUGAUGACUGGUGCAUUUGUGGAUUUCAAUUGCCUUCGGGAUGUCUGGGUCAGUACGCAGCUCUUACAAGCUGCAAUUUGAUUGGGCAAAUGAACAAUAUCCGCACCUCGACACAAAGAACGAGAAGAAUAGAGACAAAAGAACUCCUUUGUAGAACAAAGAUAAUAGGACACAAAGCAGCUGCGUACUUACUCGUCCGCUUACCCGAAGAAGCCAUGAAGACUGUGAUGUCCAGCUCGGGUAAGUCUGGACUAAGUUAUAAUGCUAUGAUGACGUCAUUUACUUUCUAGAAAAGCAAUGCUGUCAUAUCCAUGGUGUUGAUCCACCGAUCUGCCCUUAUCCAGCCCAUGUAGAACGAGCAUUUCCUACAUAACUUGUAUCUUGAAAUGUUACGAUUAUUCUGCCAAUCUUUUGAUAAACAUUGUAAACCAUAGUUUGCUCAUUGGGAGCCCGUGAACAAAUGCAAGGUUAUAGCCUACGUGUAGCCGCUGACUCGCGAAAAUAUAUACUUGUAGCUUUUACGCAACGGCGGCGAUAAUCGUGUUCAGUGACGUCACGGCCUUAGCAGGAAGAUACAGUACAGAUACAUUAGAGCAACUUGUUCAGCUUACAAGAGAAAUGUUCCUCAGCGAGGAUUAAAAACCCAAAAUACAACCCCUAUUGUCUAUAUAUGUUUUUGUUUAUAUUGUUUGCAUCUUGCAUCUCAUGUGUUUAUUUUUUUAUUCAAAUAGCUGCGGGAAAUUAGUAAGAUUACUUAUAAGUAAAUGGCUUGA